UGUGUGGUGUGUGUCUGUGUAUCUGUGUGUCUGUCUGUCUGUGUUUGCUUAAGGGAAAAGCUUCCUCCUGAUAUACCCAGAAGUCAGAUGCCAAAUGUCGCACCUUGGUUAUUUGAACUAGUUAUGUCAGAGUUUCAAAACUACCUAUGUCCAGGUGCUGUGUGUAUCAAGUCACGAUUUUCAGUAGCGUUUGUUGUUCCAAUGUGUAAACAAGUCGAGAUCCCCUAGUGAAGAGGGAAUAAAGAGACCGCUUUCCUCUUGGGUGUAACUGAGUAAUCCAAACAUUCUGUCAAGUAAUUUAAACUAGCAAGCAAGGAGUUUGGCUGUCUCUUUUAUUUUAUACCAUUAAGACAAAAAAUUAUCUGUCAGGUCUCUGUCCUUAAUGCUCCAAUUCUAACAGGUCUAUAACAAAGCACACAGGAUCUAGCCAUUGUCUGGGAUCAGGAUCCCUGGAUCCUGGAACACAUCCUCCAAUAAAGAAAAAAACAUAAACACAUCAGUGCCCACUAGAUGGGGGAAAUAGCCUCAAAUGAUUUCUAUUUCCUCUAAUAGAACAGCUUGGCAUCUAGCCACAACAGAUUAAUUCUGUGUACAGGAUGUUCAAUAGACAGCAAGAAAAGAAUAAUUGCUCACAGGGCUCUAAAGGACUAGGCAACACUCCAAUAAUUAACAUUUACUCUAGUAGUAUAUAUUUGAUGGCAUGUUAAUCCAAAGUUGAAGUAGAAAAUUAUCAUUUUCAAGUGACUGGGCAAAUAGGAGCAGACCUGGAGGAGCCCUGAAUCCACAGUGUACUGUUUACUUUGAAUGCAUCCCUUCAUUUACAAAAUGUAGAUAGUGCUAAUGUGUUUGUUUGGUACUGGGUUAUAGUGGGGUAAUGUAUGUGAAAGUACUUUGGAAACUGAAAGGUAUUCCCUUAAUGGGUAAUCCAUUGAUUGUCAUUUUAAUUACUCAUGAGGGAACAGUGCCUGAGUAAAUUAGCCUUGCUUCAUAAUGAUAAAGGUCUAUACUCUGUCAACAUCCAAGAAAAUCUAGAGGGGACUCAAUUAAUAUAAUUUAUAUUUGGGAUUAAACAGAGUUCUAUUGUAAUCUGGGACAUAUACACAGGAGGGGUAGGAGAGGCUGGGGUUUUACUGGGGAAAGGGAAAAGUUACAGAACAUGUUUUGAAAGAUGGCUUUCUGGUCUUUGUAGCAUUAUGCAUGAACAGGAAAGAUUGGCCAAUGGCUGCAAUUACUAGAAAACCAGUGUUAACGUCACGGGACGUUACUGGCCAAGUCUGCCCGGUGUGCUUGUGGCUGUUCUGACACCACAGGCCUAGCUCCCCUCGUAUGAUCCAUGUGAGAAACUGCAGCUGAAAAAAAAAUCUCCUUCCAUAGUUAGUGAUUUUAGGCAAAAUGCUGAGUGCCCUCCUUAAUUGUCAGUUUGGCAAGAAUGACUCUUUCUGAAUCUUGAAAGCUUUUACAAUCUAUGAGGAAUAAUAAUCUAAUCUAAAAAUCAAUUGUAUUUUUUUAAAUCACAACAAGCAGGUGACAAACAAAACCACAACCACCGUACUCUGAACACAACAAAAGUCAUGGGAGGACAUCUAUUAUAAUGUCCUAUAAGGCAAGGCAACCAUGGUGCUUACUGUAAUCCUAGCAGUCCAGAGGCUCACAAGUUCAAGGUCAGCCUGGGCUAUGCAGUAAUAUCACAAGUCUAGGACCAGCCUAGGUUACAGAGUAAAAUCCUUCCUCAAAAGGGGGCAUUUCCUUUCUACCAUGCAAGGGCUUUCAUCCUGCUUUAUUUUUGCAAAGAAGUAAACAGUAUCUUGAACAUGUUGGCUAUCUAGUUGUGGGAGUUGGGGGUGUAGUCUCUUUAACUACAGAAGUAGAACCACUAACAUUUCUUGGGAGCCAUCAGAUCAGUAGGUGUCUUCUAGGGUACUUGUAAGCUAGUACUUAACAGUGCCUAGGAAAGGCAAGACCUGUACAAAGAGAGUGUUCCUAGCAACCAGGAGACAUAGGUCCUAUGCUCACUGCUCCCUCCUUCUCUCCAUUCAGUCUAGAUUGCUGUUAUAGUCCAAGCAUCCCACUGAGUCACCUGAUACUCCCACCCGAAUGGGAGACGCUUCAGGGUGAGCAAGUUCACCAAGGCUUGUCUGGCUAGCAGUGAGGUCUUCUCAAGGCAAUGAAGUGUCUUGAUGGCUUGGAACAACUCCUUCACUGAAACAUCAAACGCAGCACAAAUAGUGAGCAUUUUCAGCUUAAGUGCUGCUUCCGCUUGGAGAGGUUUAAUUCUGUGAGGACAAAGGCUGUGAAGAGGCAAUCCUUCAUAAGCUGGCAGAAAAUGGCUUGAGGGACACACUUCACUUCUCCAGAUCCUCUUAUCACAGCUUUGCUGAGGGGGUUGGCAGAUUGUCUCCUUUUCAAUAAAUUGAGUCAAUCAACAGUA